UACGAAGGGGCUAGCGUUGCUCGGAAUUGAGUACGUGGGCGUAAAGGGCGGUCGUAGGCGGCGCAGUUAAGUCAGGCGUGAAAUUCCUGGGCUCAACCUGGGGACUGACGCUUGAUACGGCUGUGCUUGAGGAUGGAAGAGGCUCGCGGAAAUUCCCAGUGUAGAGGUGAAAUUCGUAGAUAUUGGGAAGAACACCGGUGGCGAAGGCGGCGACCCUGGUCCUUGACUGACGCUGAGGCGCGAAAGCGUGGGGGAGCAAACAGGA
rnacentral:rRNA from 1 species